UACAGAGGUCUCAAGCGUUGUUCGGAUUCAUUGGGCGUAAAGGGUGUGUAGGCGGCGCGGUAAGUCGGGUGUGAAAUUUCGAGGCUUAACUUCGAAACUGCAUUCGAUACUGCCGUGCUUGAGGACUGGAGAGGAGACUGGAAUUUACGGUGUAGCAGUGAAAUGCGUAGAUAUCAGGAGGAACACCUGCGGUGUAGACGGCUUUCUGGACCAUUGUUGACGCUGAGACACGAAAGCGUGGGUAGCAAACAGG
rnacentral:rRNA from 1 species